AACGAACGCUGGCGGCAGGCUUAACACAUGCAAGUCGAACGGAUCCUUCGGGAUUAGAGGCAGACGGGUGAGUAACGCGUGGGAACGUACCCUUUGCUACGGAAUAACUCAGGGAAACUUGAGCUAAUACCGUAUGUGCCCUACGGGGGAAAGAUUUAUCGGCAAAGGAUCGGCCCGCGUUGGAUUAGCUAGUUGGUGGGGUAAUGGCCUACCAAGGCGACGAUCCAUAGCUGGUCUGAGAGGAUGAUCAGCCACACUGGGACUGAGACACGGCCCAGACUCCUACGGGAGGCAGCAGUGGGGAAUAUUGGACAAUGGGCGCAAGCCUGAUCCAGCCAUGCCGCGUGAGUGAUGAAGGUCUUAGGAUUGUAAAGCUCUUUCACCGGUGAAGAUAAUGACGGUAGCCGGAGAAGAAGCCCCGGCUAACUUCGUG
rnacentral:rRNA from 1 species